GUAGGGUGCGAGCGUUAAUCGGAAUUACUGGGCGUAAAGCGUGCGCAGGCGGUUUUGUAAGCCAGAUGUGAAAUCCCCGGGCUUAACCUGGGAAUGGCAUUUGGGACUGCAAGGCUGGAGUGUGGCAGAGGAGACUGGAAUUCCCGGUGUAGCAGUGAAAUGCGUAGAUAUCGGGAGGAAUACCGAUGGCGAAGGCAGGUCUCUGGGCUGACACUGACGCUCAUGCACGAAAGCGUGGGGAGCAAACAGGAUUAGAUACCCUGGUAGUCCACGCCCUAAACGAUGUCGACUGGUUGUUGGGGGUUUGACACUCUCAGUAACGAAGCUAACGCGUGAAGUCGACCGCCUGGGGAGUACGGCCGCAAGGUUA
rnacentral:rRNA from 1 species